rnacentral:rRNA from 1 species
UACGUAGGGGGGCUAGCGUUGUCCGGAAUCAUUGGGCGUAAAGAGCGUGUAGGCGGUCCGGUAAGUCCGCUGUGAAAGUCGGGGGCUCAACCCUCGAAUGCCGGUGGAUACUGUCGGGCUAGAGUGCGGAAGAGGCGAGUGGAAUUCCUGGUGUAGAGGUGAAAUUCGUAGAUAUUAGGAAGAACACCAGUGGCGAAGGCGGCCACCUAGCCCGCACCUGACGCUGAGGCGCGACAGCGUGGGGAGCGAACUGG